AAAUAGCUUGUGAACUUCGAAAGGCGUUUUUAAUUGUUCAAGGCAAUCAACACAAGCAAAUAAAUGUACCAAGUAAAAAAAAAAACAUAGUUCAUUUAUUUGAAUUAUUUGAAUCGCUCCCAAAGUCCCUGCCAGCAAAACCCAGUAGCCUGGGGAGGAGUUGAUCUCCUCUCAAAUGUCCUCUCUGGACUUCUGUACCUGGACUUCCAUAUGUUGUAAUAUAAAACAGAUCUUCUAUCUUCUACUGUAGAAAGGUGAAUAUUUUAAGAAAGUUUGAAAGGCAUAUACUCAAAUGUCUGUUUUGGUCUAAUGAAACCAUUAAGUAUUUGAUCAAAUGUAUUUUAGUAGUGGGCAAGGUCAUUGGCUGUCUUCUUUUGUAAUCAUUGAGCCUAUGUCAAUAAUGUAUUUAUUCAAAUGUUAUUCAAAAUAUGUAGCUGUGGAAUACCUUCCAUCCUCUGGAGCUGGUCAGACCUGCUUUAGAGAGAACACUGAAGACCUUACAGCUUGACUAUGUGGGCCUAUACAUUGUUGAAUUGGACACUGCCUUCAAGGUACAGCAAUGACUGAAUAUUGAAUACAAUUCUAUCACUCUACAUUUCUACCUAAAAUGUGUAGUUUCGUGAAGCCAGGAGACACAUUCUACCCCAAGGCUGGAAUGGGAAGUACUUAUACCAUGAUACAGACCUCUGUGCCACAUGGAAGGAUUUAGGGGCUUGCAAACAUGCUGGCCUAACCAAGUCUCUGGGAGUUUCCAACUUCAACAAGAGGCAGCCAGAGCUGAUCCUGAAGAAACCAGGCCUCGAACACAGACUGGUCUCAAAUCAGGGUGAAUCUGACCUGUCCGCCCUUGUUGGAAGAUGAGCUCUUGGUGUACAUUGCCCACAAGUACAAGAAGACUACAGCUCAGAUGUCCCCGUGGUUCAACAUCCAGAGAGGGGUGCUAGUCAUCCCUAAGAGCUUCAACCCACAGCACAUAAAGGAUAACUGUUAGGUCUGUGUGAAUCUAAGACACAUGUGCCAUUUGAAUAAUGUCAGAUUGUGGGACACAACAUUUUAUGUAUUGGGAGUGCAAAAUGUAUUUAGCUACAAUUGUUAUUGACUAAGUGAAGGAUAACUCCUGAAGCAUAUGAUGUCACAUUCAUGUUUCCCUCAUAUCUCCCAAUGAAGAUAUUUUACUUUUCCCUAACUGAGGCUAAAAUGAAGGCAAUAGAGGACCUAAACAAGAACAUUCGGUUGGUGGAGCUUCUCAUGGAGAGUGACCAUCCAGAGUACCCCUUCAUGACAAUUACUAGACCUGGCUUCUACAGACAGAAAUGUAAAAAUGCAAUUCAUAUUUGCUCAAAUUAAGUUCCUUACUGUUAUUUGUAGGCUACUUUACGUAUUGUUCUCUGGCUUUGUAAUGUAAUAUCGCAUUUCAAGGUAAGACACAGAUGCAGACAACGUCAAAUUAACAGCAGUUUAUUAAUCCAACAGGGGCAGGCAAAGACAGGUCAGGGGCAGGCAGGGGUCAAUAAUUCAAAUAGGUGGGGCAAAGGUACAGAACGGCAGGCAGGCUCAGGGUCAGGGUAGGCAGAGGUCAGUAAUCCAGAUAGGUGGGGCAAAGGUACAGGACAGCAGGCAGGCUCAGAGUCGGGGUAGGCAGAAAAGGUAAAAACCUGGAAAACUAGGAAACAGGAGCCAUCAAGAGACAGAAACAGGGGGAAAACCGCUGGUAGGCUUGACAAAACAAGACAAACUGGCAACAGACAAACAGAGAACACAGGUAUAAAUACACAGGGGAAAAUGUGCAACACCUGCAGAGGGUGGAGACAAUCACAAAGACAGGUGAAACAGAUCAGGGUGUGACAUAUAAAUCAUGUGUGCAUAAUAUAAUGCAUCAACCACAGUAGUAUUAUAAUAAAACAUUUUAAAAAGUUUUAAAACUAUUUUUAUUGAAUAUUCACAAAAAAAUAAACAA